CUCCCGGCGCCCCCCGGAUGCCCUUGGUUGGGUGUCCGGUCCUCAGGGGUCCGGAGCGUUUACUUUGAAAAAAUCAGAGUGUUCAAAGCGGGCACCAAACUCGCCUGAAUGCCUGAGCUAGGAAUAAUGGAAUAGGACUCCGGUUCUAUUUUGUGGGUUUCCUGAACCAGGGCCAUGAUUAAGAGGGACGGCCGGGGGCAUUCGUAUUGCGCCGCUAGAGGUGAAAUUCUUGGACCGGCGCAAGACGGACGAAAGCGAAAGCAUUUGCCAAGAAUGUUUUCAUUAAUCAAGAACGAAGUCGGAGGUUCGANNNNNNNNAGACGAUCAGAUACCGUCGUAGUUCCGACCGUAAACUAUGCCGACCCGCGAUUCCGGCGGCGUUAUUCCCAUGACCCGCCGGGCAGCGUGCGGGGGAAACCAGAGACGAUCAGAUACCGUCGUAGUCUUAACCAUAAACGAUGCCGACCAGCGAUUAGGAGACGUUGAAUACAAAACACCACCAUCGGCGCGGUCGUCCCUGGCGUCGCGCAAGCGGCGCGGGGGCGGCUUAGCCCGAUGGCACCGGUGAAUGACUCCCCUAGCAGCUUGUGAGAAAUCAUAAGUCUUUGGGUUCCGGGGGGAGUAUGGUUGCAAAACUGAAACUUAAAGGAAUUGACGGAAGGGCACCACCAGGAGUGGAGCCUGCGGCUUUGAUUUGACUCAACACGGGGAACCUCACCCGGCCCGGACACGGAAAGGAUUGACAGACUGAUGGCUCUUUCUCGAUUCUGUUGGUGGUGGUGCAUGGCCGUUCUUAGUUGGUGGAGUGAUUUGUCUGGUUAAUUCCGAUAACGAACGAGAUUCCUUCGUGCUAAAUAGUUACGCGGCCCCCCGCGGUCGCGGUUAACUUCUUAGAGGGACCAGUGGCGUAUAGCCAUGCGAGAUGGAGCAAUAACAGGUCUGUGAUGCCCUUAGAUGUCCGGGGCUGCACGCGCGCCACAAUGGCCGGGCCAGCGUGUGCCUACCCUACGCCGAGAGGCGCGGGUAAUCCGCUUAAACCCGUUCGUGACGGGGAUUGGGGAUUGCAAUUAUUCCCCAUGAACGAGGAAUUCCCAGUAAGUGCGGGUCAUCAGCUCGCGCUGAUUAAGUCCCUGCCCUUUGUACACACCGCCCGUCGCUACUACCGAUUGGAUGGUUAUGUGAGGUCCUCGGAUCGGCCACGCCGGGGCUCCUUCGCGGGGCCUUGGUGCUGUGCUGAAAAGUCGAUCGAACUUGAUCAUCUAGAGGAAGUAAAAGUCGUAACAAGGUUUCCGUAGGUGAACCUGCGGAAG
rnacentral:rRNA from 1 species